GAUGAACGCUAGCUACAGGCUUAACACAUGCAAGUCGAGGGACCGGCGCACGGGUGAGUAACACGUAUCCAACCUGCCCUUUACUCGGGGAUAGCUUUGGAAAGAAAAAUUAAAUCCCAAGGUAAAGGCGGGGGUUGCGUUCCAUUUGGUUUGUGGUGGGGGAACGGCUCACCAAGCCUUCGAUGGGGAGGGGUUCUGAGAGGAAGGUCCCCCACAUUGGAACUGAGACACGGUCCAAACUCCGACGGGAGGCAGCAGUGAGGAAUAUUGGGCAAUGGGCGUUAGCCUGAACCAGCCAAGUAGCGUGAAGGAUGAAGGGGUAUGGGGCGGAAACUUCUUGUAUAUAAGAAUAGGUAUUAUAUGAAUAAGGAUCGGCUAACUCCGUGCCAGCCGCCGCGGUAAUAC
rnacentral:rRNA from 1 species